AGAGUUUGAUCCUGGCUCAGAACGAACGCUGGCGGCGCGUCUUAAGCAUGCAAGUCGGGCGGCAAGGACAGCAAUGUCCCUAGAGCGGCGGACUGGUGAGUAACACGUGGGUGAUCUACCUCUGGGUUGGGGAUAGCCUGUGGAAACACAGGGUAAUACCGAAUACGGUUGGGAGACCGAGGUUUUCCAAAGAAAGGAGCUACGGCUCCGCCUUGAGAUGAGCCCGCGGCUCAUUAGCUUGUUGGCGGUGUAACGGACCACCAAGGCGAUGAUGAGUAGCCGGCCUGAGAGGGUGAACGGCCACACUGGGACUGAGAUACGGCCCAGACUCCUACGGGAGGCAGCAGCUAAGAAUAUUCCGCAAUGGACGAAAGUCUGACGGAGCGACGCCGCGUGGAUGAAGAAGGCCGAAAGGUUGUAAAGUCCUUUUGUCGACGAAGAAUAAACGGUGGAGGGAAUGCCAUCGCGAUGACGUUAGUCGGCGAAUAAGCCCCGGCUAAUUACGUGCCAGCAGCCGCGGUAACACGUAAGGGGCAAGCGUUGUUCGGAAUUAUUGGGCGUAAAGGGUGCGUAGGCGGUUCGUUAAGUCAGAUGUGUAAUCCCCGAGCUCAACUUGGGAACUGCAUCUGAGACUGGCGGGCUAGAGUACUGGAGAGGGUGGUAGAAUUCCACGUGUAGCGGUGAAAUGCGUAGAGAUGUGGAGGAAUACCAGUGGCGAAGGCGGCCACCUGGACAGUAACUGACGCUGAGGCGCGAAAGUGUGGGUAGCAAACAGGAUUAGAUACCCUGGUAGUCC
rnacentral:rRNA from 1 species